GACGAACGCUGGCGGCGUGCUUAACACAUGCAAGUCGAACGAAGUGGCGAACUGGUGAGUAACGCGUAAUCAACCUGCCCUUCAGAGGGGGACAACAGUUUGAAACUACUGCUAAUACCGCAUACUGCAGGUGGGGCUGGCGUCUGAUUGGGUAGUUGGAGGGUUAACGGACCACCAAGGCGAUGAUCAGUCGGCGGACGGGGAGGAUGAACGGCCAAAGUGGGAAUGGGGAACGGACCAGAAUCCUACGGGAGGCAGCAGUGGGGAAUCUUCCGCAAUGGACGAAAGUCGGAAGGGGCAACGCCGCGGGAGUGAUGACGGCCUUGGGGUUGGAAAGCUCUGGUGAUCGGGACGCGGUACCGGAAUAGAAAGCCACGGCUAACUACGUGCCAGCAGCCGCGGUAAUUC
rnacentral:rRNA from 1 species